AGUGAACGUUGGCGGCGUGGAUUAGGCAUGCAAGUCGAGCGAGAACCGUAGCAAUACGGGGACAGCGGCGAAAGGGACAGUAAUGUGUAGGUACCUACCCCGAGGUCUGGGAUAGCUGCGGGAAACUGCAGGUAAUACCGGAUCAUGUCUUCGGACCAAAGGUGUGAUUCCACCUUGGGAGGGGCCUGCAUCCUAUUAGCUAGUUGGCGGGGUAAUGGCCCACCAAGGCGACGAUGGGUAGCGGGUGUGAGCGCACGACCCGCGUCAUUGGGACUGAGACACUGCCCAGACACCUACGGGUGGCUGCAGUCGAGGAUCUUCGGCAAUGGGCGAAAGCCUGGCCGAGCGACGCCGCGUGCGGGAUGAAGGCCUUCGGGUUGUAAACCGCUGUCGUAGAGGAGGAAAUGCAGGUGGGUUCUCCCAUCUGUUUGACCUAUUCUAGGAGGAAGUACGGGCUAAGUUCGUGCCAGCCGCCGCCGUAA
rnacentral:rRNA from 1 species